rnacentral:rRNA from 1 species
UACAGAGGUCUCAAGCGUUGUUCGGAUUUACUGGGCGUAAAGGGCGCGUAGGCGGCGUGACUAGUCACUUGUGAAAUCUCCGGGCUUAACUCGGAACGGUCAAGUGAUACUGUCGUGCUAGAGUACAGAAGGGGCAACUGGAAUUCUCGGUGUAGCGGUGAAAUGCGUAGAUAUCGAGAGGAACACCUGCGGCGAAGGCGGGUUGCUGGGCUGAUACUGACGCUGAUGCGCGAAAGCCAGGGGAGCGAACGGG